rnacentral:rRNA from 1 species
UUCCCCUAGUAACUGCGAGUGAAGCGGGAAAAGCUCAAAUUUAAAAUCUGGUAGCCUUUGGUUGCCCGAGUUGUAAUCUAGAGAAGCACUAUCCGCGCUGGACCGUGUCUAAGUCUCCUGGAAUGGAGCGUCAUAGAGGGUGAGAAUCCCGUCUUUAACACGGACUACCAGGGCUUUGUGAUACGCUCUCAAAGAGUCGAGUUGUUUGGGAAUGCAGCUCUAAAUGGGUGGUAAAUUCCAUCUAAAGCUAAAUAUUGGCGAGAGACCGAUAGCGAACAAGUACCGUGAGGGAAAGAUGAAAAGAACUUUGGAAAGAGAGUUAAAUAGUACGUGAAAUUGUUGAAAGGGAAACGCUUGAAGUCAGUCGCGUUGUCCAGGGAUCAACCUUGCUUUUGCUUGGUGUACUUUCUGGUUAACGGGUCAGCAUCAAUUUUGACCAGUGGAAAAAGAUUAAGGGAAUGUGGCAUCCUCGGAUGUGUUAUAGCCUUUGUUCGUAUGCAUUGGUUGGGAUUGAGGAACUCAGCACGCCGCAAGGCCGGGUUUUUAACCACGUUCGUGCUUAGGAUGCUGGCAUAAUGGCUUUAAUCGACCCGUCUUGAAACACGGACCAAGGAGUCUAACAUGCCUGCGAGUAUUUGGGUGGAAAACCCAAGUGCGUAAUGAAAGUGAAAGUUGGGAUCUCUGUCGUGGAGAGCACCGACGCCCGGACCAGACCUUUUGUGACGGAUCCGCGGUAGAG